rnacentral:rRNA from 1 species
AGUGAACGCUGGCGGUAGGCCUAACACAUGCAAGUCGAACGGCAGCACAGGAGAGCUUGCUCUCUGGGUGGCGAGUGGCGGACGGGUGAGGAAUACAUCGGAAUCUACUCUGUCGUGGGGGAUAACGUAGGGAAACUUACGCUAAUACCGCAUACGACCUACGGGUGAAAGCAGGGGACCUUCGGGCCUUGCGCGAUUGAAUGAGCCGAUGUCGGAUUAGCUAGUUGGCGGGGUAAAGGCCCACCAAGGCGACGAUCCGUAGCUGGGCGGAGGGGGUGAUCAGCCACACUGGAACUGAGACACGGUCCAGACUCCUACGGGAGGCAGCAGUGGGGAAUAUUGGACAAUGGGCGAAAGCCUGGUCCAGCCAUACCGCGUGGGUGAAGAAGGCCUUCGGGUUGUAAAGCCCUUUUGUUGGGAAAGAAAUCCAGCUGGCUAAUACCCGGUUGGGAUGACGGUACCCAAAGAAUAAGCACCGGCUAACUUCGUGCCAGCCGCCGCAGUAA